CUUGUACACACCGCCCGUCACACCAUGGGAGUGGGGUGCACCAGAAGUAGGUAGGCUAACCGCGAGGGGGCCGUUUACCACGGUGCGCUUCAUGACUGGGGGUG
rnacentral:rRNA from 1 species